GUCUACGGGCCAUGCCAGUCUGAACAAGCCCAUCCUGUCCAAUCUCGGAAGCUAAGCAGACUCAGGCCUGGUUAGUACUUGGAUGGGAGACCACCUAGGAAGACCAGGUGCUGUAGGUA
rnacentral:rRNA from 1 species